rnacentral:rRNA from 1 species
CCAAUAGCGUAUAUUAAAGUUGUUGCAGUUAAAAAGCUCGUAGUUGAAUUUCGGGAUCAGACUGUCGGUCGUGCCUCGGUACGCACUGGCAUUAUUGGUUUCUACCUUCUGAAGAACCGCGAUGUCAUUAAUUUGGUGUCUCGGGGAAUCAGGACUGUUACUUUGAAAAAAUUAGAGUGUUUAAAGCAGGCUUACGCUUGAAUACAUUAGCAUGGAAUAAUGAAAUAGGACGUUUGAUUCUAUUUUGUUGGUUUCUAGGAUCGACGUAAUGAUUAAUAGGGAUAGUUGGGGGCAUUAGUAUUCAAUUGUCAGAGGUGAAAUUCUUGGAUUUAUUGAAGACUAACUACUGCGAAAGCAUUUGCCAAGGAUGUUUUCAUUAAUCAAGAACGAAAGUUAGGGGAUCGAAGACGAUCAGAUACCGUCGUAGUCUUAACCAUAAACUAUGCCGACUAGGGAUCGGAUGAUGUUAAUUUUAUAAUGACUCAUUCGGCGCCUUACG